CGGGCUUUUUUGUUGGGAAGGAGGUAAGGAUGUUGGGAUAAUGACAUCACAACCAGAAUUAGAGAAGCAGCCCUGAUGAGAUCUUCAAAGAAAGAGAACUACUUACCUGUAAAGGACAGACAUGAAUCUGUGAGCCUUGAGUCCAGCACCAGCAAGAGCUUAAGAUCACUUGCUUAAAGGCACAGUCAUACGGGCACAGCGUUGAGCUGCUGGAAAUCAGGUGCCGGUACCGGGAACAAAUUUCCUUUCUGUCAUUUUGCUACUUGUGAGUAAUGGGAAUCUUGGACAUUCAUAAGGUGAGAGUUUAUUUAACUGGAGAAGAGAGGAAUGAUGAUGAGAUUACUGAGCACUGCUGAUUGCUUGCCCUAGCUGAAGGGCACUGUGAAUGACCUGGGUCACUUGGUCCAUGGGCUGAGGUGGCUCUCAGCUGUCUCCCCGAUUCAACUCCUGCCAAGGCUCUCCUCAAGAAGCUGGGAAAACUUUUCUUGAAAUGAUCCUCCUCCGCCUUCUGACUGAAGAGUAUGACUGAUGCCUUUUCUUCCCCAGCGCAAUAGUACAUCUGUGGAGUAGAGAGACUAGUUUCAAGAGGUCACCUUGAUGCAGAAUCCAUGAUUUGGAAACUGCAAGUCUCUGUGAGGUUGGAAUUGAUCCACAGGAACAACAGUAAUUCAUGCAACAAAACAUGUUAAAUGCUGUGAAAUGUUCUAGUCUUUGAGCUGCUUUGGUCCUGCUGUGUAAACGAACCUUUGAGCUGUCCAGAAUGAUUGCAAAGGCCAGAAAUAACUGAAGCAAGAAAGCAUGAGGGGGGACAAUUGUCAUGGCACUUUUUCUUUCAAAUCUCUACAAAGAGGCUA